CCAGGAUGUUGGCUUAGAAGCAGCCAUCAUUUAAAGAAAGCGUAAUAGCUCACUGGUCGAGUCGGCCUGCGCGGAAGAUGUAACGGGGCUAAACCAUGCACCGAAGCUGCGGCAGCGACGCUUAUGCGUUGUUGGGUAGGGGAGCGUUCUGUAAGCCUGUGAAGGUGUACUGUGAGGUAUGCUGGAGGUAUCAGAAGUGCGAAUGCUGACAUAAGUAACGAUAAAGCGGGUGAAAAGCCCGCUCGCCGGAAGACCAAGGGUUCCUGUCCAACGUUAAUCGGGGCAGGGUGAGUCGACCCCUAAGGCGAGGCCGAAAGGCGUAGUCGAUGGGAAACAGGUUAAUAUUCCUGUACUUGGUGUUACUGCGAAGGGGGGACGGAGAAGGCUAUGUUGGCCGGGCGACGGUUGUCCCGGUUUAAGCGUGUAGGCUGGUUUUCCAGGCAAAUCCGGAAAAUCAAGGCUGAGGCGUGAUGACGAGGCACUACGGUGCUGAAGCAACAAAUGCCCUGCUUCCAGGAAAAGCCUCUAAGCAUCAGGUAACAUCAAAUCGUACCCCAAACCGACACAGGUGGUCAGGUAGAGAAUACCAAGGCGCUUGAGAGAACUCGGGUGAAGGAACUAGGCAAAAUGGUGCCGUAACUUCGGGAGAAGGCACGCUGAUAUGUAGGUGAAGCGACUUGCUCGUGGAGCUGAAAUCAGUCGAAGAUACCAGCUGGCUGCAACUGUUUAUUAAAAACACAGCACUGUGCAAACACGAAAGUGGACGUAUACGGUGUGACGCCUGCCCGGUGCCGGAAGGUUAAUUGAUGGGGUUAGCGCAAGCGAAGCUCUUGAUCGAAGCCCCGGUAAACGGCGGCCGUAACUAUAACGGUCCUAAGGUAGCGAAAUUCCUUGUCGGGUAAGUUCCGACCUGCACGAAUGGCGUAAUGAUGGCCAGGCUGUCUCCACCCGAGACUCAGUGAAAUUGAACUCGCUGUGAAGAUGCAGUGUACCCGCGGCAAGACGGAAAGACCCCGUGAACCUUUACUAUAGCUUGACACUGAACAUUGAGCCUUGAUGUGUAGGAUAGGUGGGAGGCUUUGAAGUGUGGACGCCAGUCUGCAUGGAGCCGACCUUGAAAUACCACCCUUUAAUGUUUGAUGUUCUAACGUGGACCCGUGAUCCGGGUUGCGGACAGUGUCUGGUGGGUAGUUUGACUGGGGCGGUCUCCUCCUAAAGAGUAACGGAGGAGCACGAAGGUUGGCUAAUCCUGGUCGGACAUCAGGAGGUUAGUGCAAUGGCAUAAGCCAGCUUGACUGCGAGCGUGACGGCGCGAGCAGGUGCGAAAGCAGGUCAUAGUGAUCCGGUGGUUCUGAAUGGAAGGGCCAUCGCUCAACGGAUAAAAGGUACUCCGGGGAUAACAGGCUGAUACCGCCCAAGAGUUCAUAUCGACGGCGGUGUUUGGCACCUCGAUGUCGGCUCAUCACAUCCUGGGGCUGAAGUAGGUCCCAAGGGUAUGGCUGUUCGCCAUUUAAAGUGGUACGCGAGCUGGGUUUAGAACGUCGUGAGACAGUUCGGUCCCUAUCUGCCGUGGGCGCUGGAGAACUGAGGGGGGCUGCUCCUAGUACGAGAGGACCGGAGUGGACGCAUCACUGGUGUUCGGGUUGUCAUGCCAAUGGCACUGCCCGGUAGCUAAAUGCGGAAGAGAUAAGUGCUGAAAGCAUCUAAGCACGAAACUUGCCCCGAGAUGAGUUCUCCCUGACUCCUUGAGAGUCCUGAAGGAACGUUGAAGACGACGACGUUGAUAGGCCGGGUGUGUAAGCGCAGCGAUGCGUUGAGCUAACCGGUACUAAUGAACCGUGAGGCUUAACCUUACAACGCCGAAG
rnacentral:rRNA from 1 species